GGAUCAAUUGAUUGGUCAUGCCUACGGUAUGUACUAGUCAUAUUGGUUCUCACCUUCUAAUGAACCUUAAUGUCAUUCACUUGAUGUUUUGGGGAAUUAGGACUGUUACCUUGAAAAAAUUAGAGUGUUUAAAGCAGGCAAUCUCGCUUGAAUACAUUAGCAUGGAAUAAUAGAAUAGGA
rnacentral:rRNA from 1 species